rnacentral:rRNA from 1 species
CGGCGGACGGGUGAGUAAUGCCUAGGAAUCUGCCUGGUAGUGGGGGACAACGUUUCGAAAGGAACGCUAAUACCGCAUACGUCCUACGGGAGAAAGCAGGGGACCUUCGGGCCUUGCGCUAUCAGAUGAGCCUAGGUCGGAUUAGCUAGUUGGUGAGGUAAUGGCUCACCAAGGCGACGAUCCGUAACUGGUCUGAGAGGAUGAUCAGUCACACUGGAACUGAGACACGGUCCAGACUCCUACGGGAGGCAGCAGGC